GACGAACCGUGCGAACGUUAUUCGGAAUCACUGGGCUUAAAGCGCGUGUAGGCGGUCUCGCAAGUCGGGUGUGAAAGCCCAGGGCUCAACCCUGGAAGUGCAUUCGAUACUGCGAGGCUAGAGUCCCGGAGAGGAUGGUGGAACUCUCGGUGUAGAGGUGAAAUUCGUAGAUAUCGAGAAGAACACCGGUGGCGAAGGCGGCCAUCUGGACGGUGACUGACGCUGAGACGCGAAAGCGUGGGGAGCAAACAGG
rnacentral:rRNA from 1 species